rnacentral:rRNA from 1 species
GUUUGACCUCAAAUCAGGUAAGAUUACCCGCUGAACUUAAGCAUAUCAAUAAGCGGAGGAAAAGAAACCAACAGGGAUUGCCUUAGUAGCGGCGAGUGAAGCGGCAAUAGCUCAAAUUUGAAAUCUGGCACCUUCGGUGUCCGAGUUGUAAUUUGAAGAAGGUAUCUUUGGUUUUGGCUCUUGUCUAUGUUCCUUGGAACAGGACGUCACAGAGGGUGAGAAUCCCGUGCGAUGAGAUGCCCAAUUCCAUGUAAAGUUCCUUCGACGAGUCGAGUUGUUUGGGAAUGCAGCUCUAAGUGGGUGGUAAAUUCCAUCUAAAGCUAAAUAUUGGCGAGAGACCGAUAGCGAACAAGUACUGUGAAGGAAAGAUGAAAAGAACUUUGAAAAGAGAGUGAAAAAGUACGUGAAAUUGUUGAAAGGGAAGGGCUUGAGGUCAGACUUGGUUUUACCAGGCCAGCAUCAGUUUGGAUGGCAGGAUAAUAGCUUAGGAAUGUGGCACUGCUUCGGUAGUGUGUUAUAGCCUGGGUUGAUACUGCCUGUCUAGACUGAGGACUGCGUCUUUGACUAGGAUGCUGGCAUAAUGACCUUAAGCCGC